rnacentral:rRNA from 1 species
CAUGCCGUAAACGAUGAUUACUAGGUGUGGGGGGUCUGACCCCUUCCGUGCCGGAGUUAACACAAUAAGUAAUCCACCUGGGGAGUACGACCGCAAGGUUGAAACUCAAAGGAAUUGACGGGGGCCCGCACAAGCAGUGGAGUAUGUGGUUUAAUUCGAAGCAACGCGAAGAACCUUACCAGGUCUUGACAUCCUAGGAACGGCUAAGAGAUUAGCUGGUGCCUUUCGGGGAAUCUAGAGACAGGUGG